rnacentral:rRNA from 1 species
GACGAACGCUGGCGGCGUGCCUAAUACAUGCAAGUCGAGCGGACCGAUUGAGAGCUUGCUCUUAUUUGGUCAGCGGCGGACGGGUGAGUAACACGUGGGCAACCUGCCCGCAAGACCGGGAUAACUCCGGGAAACCGGAGCUAAUACCGGAUAACACCGAAGACCGCAUGGUCUUUGGUUGAAAGGCGGCCUUUGGCUGUCACUUGCGGAUGGGCCCGCGGCGCAUUAGCUAGUUGGUGAGGUAACGGCUCACCAAGGCGACGAUGCGUAGCCGGCCUGAGAGGGUGACCGGCCACACUGGGACUGAGACACGGCCCAGACUCCUACGGGAGGCAGCAGUAGGGAAUCUUCCGCAAUGGGCGAAAGCCUGACGGAGCGACGCCGCGUGAGCGAAGAAGGCCUUCGGGUCGUAAAGCUCUGUUGUGAGGGACGAAGGAGCGCCGUUUGAACAAGGCGGCGCGGUGACGGUACCUCACGAGAAAGCCCCGGCUAACUACGUGCCAGCCGCCGCCGUAACAC